rnacentral:snRNA from 1 species
GUGCUCGCUUCGGCAGCACAUAUACUAACAAUGGACGAUCUAGAGAAGAUUAGCACGGCCCCUGCGCAAGGAUGACACGCAAAUUCGUAAAGUGUUCCAUAUUUUG